GAACGCUGGCGGCAUGCCUUACACAUGCAAGUCGAACGGUAACAGGUCUUCGGAUGCUGACGAGUGGCGAACGGGUGAGUAAUACAUCGGAACGUGCCCGAUCGUGGGGGAUAACGCAGCGAAAGCUGUGCUAAUACCGCAUACGAUCUACGGAUGAAAGCGGGGGAUCGCAAGACCUCGCGCGGACGGAGCGGCCGAUGGCAGAUUAGGUAGUUGGUGGGAUAAAAGCUUACCAAGCCGACGAUCUGUAGCUGGUCUGAGAGGACGACCAGCCACACUGGGACUGAGACACGGCCCAGACUCCUACGGGAGGCAGCAGUGGGGAAUUUUGGACAAUGGGCGCAAGCCUGAUCCAGCCAUGCCGCGUGCAGGAUGAAGGCCUCGGUUGUAAACUGCUUUGUACGGAACGAAAAAGACUCUCUCUAAUACAGGGGUGAAGUGACGGUACCGUAAGAAUAAGACACCGGCUAACUACGUGCCAGCAGCCGCGGUAAUACGUA
rnacentral:rRNA from 1 species